UACAGAGGUCUCAAGCGUUGUUCGGAUUCAUUGGGCGUAAAGGGUGUGUAGGUGGCGCGCUAAGUCGGGUGUGAAAUUUCGGAGCUUAACUCCGAAACUGCAUUCGAUACUGGCGUGCUUGAGGACUGGAGAGGAGACUGGAAUUCAUGGUGUAGCAGUGAAAUGCGCAGAUAUCAGGAGGAACACCGGUGGCGAAGGCGGGUCUCUGGGCCGAUACUGACGCUGAGGAGCGAAAGCGUGGGGAGCGAACAGG
rnacentral:rRNA from 1 species